UGAAUUCCGGUAGCUUAGUGGUUAGAGGUUCUGCCUCGUAUGUGGGAGGUUGCAGGUUUGAACCUUGACCGGGUCAU